GGGGAAUUGUUCGCAAUGGGCGCAAGCCUGACGACGCAACGCCGCGUGGAGGACGAAGAUUUUCGGAUCGUAAACUCCUUUCGAUCGGGAAGAACAGUUGUGGGGUGAACAGCCCCGCAGCGUGACGGUACCGAGGGAAGAAGCCCCGGCUAACUCCGUGCCAGCAGCCGCGGUAAUACGGGGGGGGCAAGCGUUGUUCGGAAUUACUGGGCGUAAAGGGCUCGUAGGCGGCCAACUAAGUCCGACGUGAAAUCCCAAGGCUUAACCUUGGAACUGCGUCGGAUACUGGAUGGCUUGAAUUCGGGAGAGGGAUGCAGAAUUCCAGGUGUAGCGGUGAAAUGCGUAGAUAUCUGGAGGAAUACCGGUGGCGAAGGCGGCAUCCUGGACCGACAUUGACGCUGAUGAGCGAAAGCUAGGGGAGCAAAC
rnacentral:rRNA from 1 species